rnacentral:misc_RNA from 1 species
AUGUGCUUCUGUUUAUAGAUGAAUGAACACGAUGCGCGUUUUACUUUUUGUAUGUUUUCUAAUACUCAUCAAUUUAAUUACAACUUCUGCAAGAAGUGUUCAUGAGUAUUCGAAACUAGGCACCAAUGGAGGUUCCAACUGUGCAGGCAAGUAUAGUGUAGUAACGUUAUAGUUCUUAUUUACAGGUAGAAUAUUAGAAGGAAGUAAUUUAACUUAAUAUACAUGUAUGCUUAUGUUGUCUUUUGGCAGUUUGGGUUUAUUCCUAUUGACCCAACGUUCAUGUAUCGUAUGUUGUUAAAUGGUAAACAAGAUCCGAACGAUUACUCUAUAAUUACUUUUUUUUUUUUUUUUAAAGGAAACAGGCUUUUUUUAAAUGCGUAAAUUUAAAACAAGAAAUUAAUCUCUUUGUUUUCAUAAACCAACUCUAGUGUUCCUAGAAAGUAAGUUUCUUGAAAAUCUACCCUGUUGUUAUUUUAAGAGAUAAUAACAUUAUUUUAACAUGAAAUACGGGUAUAUCAACUAAAGAAAUAUUUAGGCAAUUUUUAUUUCCCGCACCUUGAAGACUCGAAGCCAUAUAUACAUUAUAUAGAAUACAAUAUAUAUUUUCUGGCUUAAAAUGUAAUAUACAUGAUUUUUAACAAUGGUGCAAAAAAUUUCUACAUCGUCGAAACAAUUUCUUAAAAAAUCGUACGAACGAUUUUUAAAAGCCUUCAAAAGAUUAAAAAAAUCAACUCGAACGAAUUUCUACAAACGAUUUGAUUUAUUUAUUUCAGCAAAAUUUUAAAGGCGCUUUUUAAAAUACGCCGUCGUAAAACAGAUUUACAAAACGCAUAUGUAUAUGUGCAUGUCAUUAUAAGAUAUCGCUAAAUUUAUAAUCAGAUAUAAAUAAAACAAACAUACUCUGCACACUUAAAAAUUUCACCUUAAAUUUGUAUUAAUACGGUGUGUAGUUAUUGGGAGUUAGAAUACCAGUUCCCCUCUUCAUAUU